GAAAACUUGGAAACUACCGUUGGAUCGAGAAAUGGAUGUCCGAUAUUCGUCCACGUCACCAUGAGUUAAAAUUAACUAACUCAUGAGUGACUCUACGAGUUAAAUUUUAACUCAUGGUGACGUAGAUGAAUCUCGGACGUCCAUUUCUUGAUCCAACGGUAGUUUUCAAGUUUUC
rnacentral:pre_miRNA from 1 species